rnacentral:lncRNA from 1 species
UCAGUCGAACCAACGCUUGCGCGGCACACGGGUGUAUUUUUGUGUAGUGGCCCUGUGCUCGCCGUUCCAGCCACCAUGAGUCGUCGAAUCGACGAAGAUACGAUUCGUCACCUGUUAUGUGAUAAUAAUAGUGUCGAAGAAACUUCUACUUGUACACAUGAGCCUGAUCAAAGAGAAGAUGCCGAUAACCUUCCUAUCGCUAAAAAAAGAAAAAAUUGUGCAAUUUGUACCCUCCGCAAGACGAAGAAUGACAAAGAGUUGUUGCACUAAGUGCAACAAAUCCUUGUGUGGCGAACACAAACUUGACAUUUGUCACAAAUGUAUUAAUUGAUAGUUUUUUUAUAAAAUGUUGUUUUCUUUUGUUGAUUUUAUUUCUUAAUUCUAAUAUUUUAAUGUUUUUUUGAGUCUUUGUUUUGUUAGUUAUAAAGAUUUUUAGCAUUUAAAAAACAAAAAUGUUGAUAUGAGUAACAUUUUCGGGUCUCAAUUAAAAGACUGUCAAAGUAAUUAAAAUGUGAUUUUAGUGAAUAAAAACCUGAUAACUAUGUUAACAAAUCAUUAUUGUAAUAAAUAAAUAAAACACAAAAA